GGAGGCAGUAGGCUGACUGCCGCUAAGGUAGCAAAAUCAUUAGCCUUUUAAUUGACGGCUCGUAUAAAAGAUUUGACAUAGAGCUUUCUGUCUUAGGGUGAUAUUUAAAAUUUUACAUUGAGGUAAAAAGGCCCCAGGCUAUUAAAAAGACGAUAAGACCCUAAAAUCUACUUAAAACUAGUUUCUAUUAAGGUUCUAUCAAUUUGGUGUGUAGUAUACUGGGGCGGUAAAUACAAAUAAGACUGUAGUACUCUGAACGUAUUGGAUGAAAUAUAUAUAACCUUCCUGAAUGUAGUAAAUGACAUUAGGGAUGGCAGCCUACUAAAUUUUGAUAGCCCUUGUUGACAGAUAUGUUUAUGACCGCGAUGUUGGCUUGAGUUAUCUGUCUGUAUACGAAUAAAUAUGUGUGAGUCUGUCCGACCCUUACUAUUUCUCAUGAUUGAAGUGCACACCGGC
rnacentral:rRNA from 1 species